CCCUCCACCCCCCCACCUGACCCGCAACCCUAGGAGCCAUGGGGACCAGCCUGCCGGAUGCUUCCCGGGACAGGAGCCACCUCAGCAAGCAGUAUUUCCUCUCGAUGGUGACUGGAUCAUUGGGCUGAAGUGGCUCAGCGGCAUUAGAUACAUGCUAUUUCAAGCUGGGAAGAUGGAGAGAGAAGCCUUUGGAAAGCUGAAUGUGGCAUGAAAAGGAAGAACCCUCUCUGCUUAAAAGAAGGAAGUUUUUGACAUCUGAACAUCUAUAACAUAUAGAGCAGGUACCCUGGAAACUCAGCAAGCAGUUGGAACAGUAACUAGAAGGCUGGACUGCAAACGCAUCUACUUGGGGAGUUGUUCCCAGUGUAUCGAGUGUGUGUGUGUGAGUGUGAUGCACACAUUAACUACAUUACACUACAUAUAUGCAGCAGAUACGCCAACUACUUGGUGAGUUUCCAGCGUAUGUAUGUAAGUCUAACUUGGGAAAACAGCACAACAAACCUAGAUAAACAGGUCAAAGAGCAAAAUGAAAAUGAGGAACAUCUCGAAGACAUUGAAGAAACUGAAGUGCCAGUAGUCUGGGUCCAUAUUUUAAAGAACAACAUUGUUAGCAAAGAAGCUGAAGAGAUGAUCUGAGGCCCAUGGUCAACCUUGGACAGAUAACAUCAGAGGUUAGAGAGAGACUUUUCUCCUCAAAGGACCUGAUCAAGGCAGUUAAUAAUAAACUUAAGUCUGAAUUUAUUUAUAUUUUGUAAAAUUGAACAGUGAGCAAGCAUCUUUUCCCAGGCAGAGCCCCUGCUUGCCAAGAUUCAGCACAGAAAGUACUUUUUAUAGUCUAGUUGGAGAUGCUGCAACUCACUAUAAUGGGCUUUGCACUUUUAUAACCAUCUCUUAAUUAAUGCGACAUCUUAGGCAAGUUAGUAUUUCCCUCUUUAAAUGAUGCUAUUCAGCUUGUUCUCCCUCAAUCACUAUUUGGGUUUGCAGAGGUACUGCCAAGAUCAAACGCAAACUUAAUAGUUGGAUGGGAUUAUUUUUUUAAAAUCCUUCCAUAUUUUCUGAUGAUAAUACCAUGCUAAGCAAAUAGCCACACACCAAGCCAACCCUUGCUGCGCUUACUCAAAUAAUACCACUGACCACAGCAUCUCCUCCAUUGGCUUUGGUGGGAUUAAUCACAGGACUUGGCCCAAUGUAUUUAAACUCCCACAAUCACUACCAUACUUUACCACCUCCCUACACCCACAGACUGAGUGAGACCUAUUCACUGCUGAGUAUAACAUCCCAUUUUAUAAACUCCUGUGUAAGUGUGUGUCAUGCAUGCACACAUGGAGAGUUCAUUGCAGUAUAAUCUCCAAUUACUUGGUUCAAGUUCUGAUGAUAUUUCUGCAGCUCUUGUGCCUUCCUUAGACAAAGUUGGGAAGAAGGAUUGAUGAAGACAUGAGACUGGGAGAUCAGGGUUCUAUUCCUGCUUUGUACUUCCUCUGUGACCUUAGUCAAGUCACUACCUCUGUGUACUGUAGUUUCCUAAUGUGUAAAAUGUGGCUAAUACUAAUUCCCUUCCUCAUAUUGAGGAUUAAUUGCUUAUCAAGAAAUUUAAUAUAAUCAUAUAGAAGGCACCAUAUUCAUUCAAAAUACUGUUGGUAAACAAGAUUCAGAGCUCACAUGUAAAUAGCUGCAAUGCUAUUUCAAACAUAUCAAUAAUAUUGUAAUUUUACACUAAGGAGAACAUCU